AGAGUUUGAUCCUGGCUCAGGAUGAACGCUGGCGGCGUGCCUAAUACAUGCAAGUCGAACGAAGGUACUUGUACCUUAGUGGCGAACGGGUGAGUAACACGUAGGUAACCUGCCCUCAAGACGAGGAUAACCAUUGGAAACGAUGGCUAAUACUGGAUAGUUAAUAGGAAGGCAUCUUCUUAUUAUUAAAGGACCACUGGUAUGCUUGAGGAUGGACCUGCGGCGCAUUAGUUAGUUGGUGAGGUAACGGCUCACCAAGACGAUGAUGCGUAGCCGGACUGAGAGGUUGAACGGCCACAUUGGGACUGAGACACGGCCCAAACUCCUACGGGAGGCAGCAGUAGGGAAUUUUCGGCAAUGGAGGAAACUCUGACCGAGCAACGCCGCGUGAAUGAAGACAUAUUUCGGUAUGUAAAGUUCUUUUAUUAGGGAAGAAUAGCCCAUGGAAAAAUGGGUGUGACGGUACCUAAUGAAUAAGCCCCGGCUAACUAUGUGCCAGCAGCCGCGGUAAUACAUAGGGGGCAAGCGUUAUCCGGAAUUAUUGGGCGUAAAGGGUGCGUAGGCGGCCAUUUAAGUCUUUGGUAUAAGUGCAGUGCUUAACGCUGUGAUGCUAAGGAAACUGAAUGGCUUGAGUGAGAUAGAGGCAAGUGGAAUUCCAUGUGUAGCGGUAAAAUGCGUAAAUAUAUGGAGGAACACCAGUGGCGAAGGCGGCUUGCUGGGUCUACACUGACGCUGAGGCACGAAAGCGUGGGGAGCAAACAGGAUUAGAUACCCUGGUAGUCCACGCC
rnacentral:rRNA from 1 species